UUGGAGGAAGAAGGUGUAGCUGACGGGUGGGUCCCACAUGGCAGAGAGAGAAAGGGAAAGGAGGAGGCGGGCUGGCAGUUGCUGCGCGAGUUGGGCCGGGCUGGAAUGAGAGAGAGGGGGAGGGAAUAGGAUUUUUCUUUUUAUUUUUCAAUAAAUUUUCAAAGCUCAUUUUUUUAAAAUUUGAAUUUGAAUAAAUUCUCUUUGCAAAACUUCACACAUCACAAAAAUGAAUGUUGCAGCAUGUAUGCAUCAAUAUAUUUCUAAUCUUACAGUAAAUUUUAAUUUCCCAAAAAUUAUUAUUUUUCCUAUAUUUUGAUGCUCACAAAAUUGACUCAAUAAAUCAAAUUCAACUAUUUAAAACAAGGGAAUUUUUAGGGUGUUACA
rnacentral:lncRNA from 1 species